GACGAACGCUGGCGGCGUGCUUAACACAUGCAAGUCGAACGGAAAGGCCCCCACCUUGGUGGGGGUGCUCGAGUGGCGAACGGGUGAGUAACACGUGGGUGCUCUGCCCUGUACUUCGGGAUAAGCUUGGGAAACUGGGUCUAAUACCGGAUAGGACCAUGGUUUAGUGUCUCAUGGUGGAAAAAUUAUUGUUUUGGUGCAGGAUGAGCUCGCGGCCUAUCAGCUUGUUGGUGGGGUAAUGGCCUACCAAGGCGUCGGCGGGUAGCCGGCCUGAGAGGGUGGACGGCCACAUUGGGACUGAGAUACGGCCCAGACUGCUACGGGAGGCAGCAGUGGAGAAUAGUGCACAAUGGGCGAAAGCCUGAUGCAGCGACGCGGCGUGGGGGAUGACGGCCUUCGGGUGGUAAACUCCUUUCGUUAGGGACGAAGCCACACCUUUUUUGGGGGGGGUGAGGGUACCUUUGUUAAGAAGCACCGGCUAAAUAAGUG
rnacentral:rRNA from 1 species